UACGGGGGGGGCAAGCGUUGUUCGGAAUUACUGGGCGUAAAGGGCUCGUAGGCGGCCAACUAAGUCGGAUGUGAAAUCCCCAGGCCUUAACCUGGGAACUGCAUCCGAUACUGGAUGGCUUGAAUCCGGGAGAGGGAUGCAGAAUUCCAGGUGUAGCGGUGAAAUGCGUAGAUAUCGUAAGGAAGACCAGUGGCGAAGGCGGGUCUCUGGACAGUUCCUGACGCUG
rnacentral:rRNA from 1 species